UACGUAGGGCGCAAGCGUUGUCCGGAAUUAUUGGGCGUAAAGAGCUCGUAGGCGGCUUGUCGCGUCGAAUGUGAAAACCCACGGCUCAACUGUGGGCUUGCAUUCGAUACGGGCAGGCUAGAGUUCGGUAGGGGAGACUGGAAUUCCUGGCGUAGCGGUGAAAUGCGCAGAUAUCAGGAGGAACACCGGUGGCGAAGGCGGGUCUCUGGGCCGAUACUGACGCUGAGGAGCGAAAGCGUGGGGAGCGAACAGG
rnacentral:rRNA from 1 species